GUAACUUAAAAAAUUUAAAUCCAUAUUCAACACAGGGUCGGAUACAAACCGGGUCUUGUUUUUGUUCUUAUAUUAACACAGGAUCAGAUGCAAACCGGGUAUUUUUUUUUUUAUAUUGUUAUCAUGAGGUAUCAUGUGAAAACUAAACAAGGUUUCAUCAUUCACUAUCAAUAAACCACCCCAAGUUAAUAUCAGAAAAUGUAGAUAAUAUAGGCAAAGAAUAAAAGACAGAAAAGAGGGACCUCAUCUGCUGACAUGGCUAUCCAUGCACGAACAGCAAGUUCCUGCUGCCUGCACUAUUGCGUUAACCAAGACGUCCAUCCUUACAUGAACCAGUUAAUUAUUUUAUCUUCUAAAUUUUACUUUUUUCCAUUCCAGAUAAAAGCUUUUGUAGUGUCAACUAAUGGGGCAGAAGUGAGAUUAUAAAACCCGCCCUUCUAAACCAGUAGAUAGUGAACAGACAACGAUGUUCUACAUCACACCAACCUACAUGCAAAGCAAAAUCUCAUAUAAUGCUAGCUUACAUGCACAAAAAAAUAUAGAAAUCAGAUAAUGAAUAGAAUAAUGAGAAAUAGAAAAAGAUGGACGAUGAUAAUCCAUGAGCAAGCACUAUCCAAUCAUCUUCAUUACACUUAAGCCUGAAGUGGAUGGUAGAAGACAGAAAACGAAUGAUGUCAUAUAAACAGAAAACGAUAAUUAAUCAGUAUUCUUAAGAAAUAAGGGGGACAAACUGAAUGGAUGCUCCUGUUAUUCACUUUCCAUAAGCAAGACCAAGGUUGAGAGAGAUUUAAAAAACAAUAUAUGGCAACGAACCAGAGAGGGCAAAGAGUCCAAGCAAAGCAUUAGUUUUCCAGACCUAUAAAGUAAAUCAGCAAGAUUCAAAUAUUCGCGUGCUGAUAAAAAAAGAAAAGAAAAUAAAGACUGCAGGAAAGUCGCAAUAAGGUUUAAAGCGAACCCGCAGAUGAACAUCAUGACGCUUUGUAAAUCCCUAAAAAAGAAUGAUACAAAAUGAGAUUAAAACAGAACCAAGUUUAAUGAGGUUGCCUUCCUCUGUACUCAAAUGCCUCUUAAGAAGAUGACUUAAAUGCAACCAGAGAGAAUACAGCGAUAAAAAAGAUUGGAUUAUCCGUAUAUGCUUAUGUCAGCUGUCAAAAAGAAAAAAGAACAUCCGAUUACCAUUUUCGAUAUCUUGAAAACCCUUUAUUUGAAUCACAAAAGCUUAAUUUUGAUUUACACCGAAAAACAAGCCACCAUGUUGAAGAUGGAUUCACCGAAAAACCAUAAUAGCAACAUGUAACCAAAGCUAAAAAAGGGUCCAUUCGCUUUAGAAGUGAAAGAACUUUCAAGACACAAAAUGGUACUGAUCAAAAUGCAUAGGUCCGAUCAUAUGUUGUUUUUUUCUGCAAAACAAAAACAUUGAACCACAAACUCUACUCUCCUGCAAGGUUCUCAUGGUGAUGAAAAGACAGAAAAAUAAUGAUGGUAUUCAUCUAAAAUUGUAACCAUAGACAAACUACCAGGACUAAAUGGAUAGCAAUUUUUGGUGCCACACAAAUCUACAUGAAACACGAGAGAAAACGAGAAACCAGCAAAGAAGACAGUAGGUGCUGAUGAUCCACAAGCAAACACAGCAAUCCAGUCAUCUUCAACUAUGCAGAGCUGUGGCAGGUCAAUAAUAUAAUCCUAUAAGGCAUCAGCAAAAAUAAGCAAGACUUUCUGGCUUGCAUGUUGAUAUAAAGAAGUGAAUAAACAACGCAAAAAAACUGAAAAGAUUCAAAGAACUCCCGCAGAUGGUCAACCAUGAUGCCUUGUCACCCCAGUCCCAACUAGCCUACAAACAAAAUUCUUGUUUAAGAUUCCUAGAAAGAAAGUUCGUCAUUAUGGAAUGAAAAACGAUUUUAGGUCACGAAAUGAUACUAAUCGAAACACAUAGGUCCAUUCAUCAGUUGCUCUUGCUGCAAAAUACGUACAUCGUAACAACAUUAACUCCGUGCUUUUCUGCAAGUUCCUCACGAUGAUGGGAAGGCAGAAAAACAACAUGGUAAGAUAAAAAUCAUAAGAAUUAUACAAAAACCUGUUAGUAGUAAUUGGACAACACUGUUUGGAUGCCACGAUAACCUACACGAAAAGGAAGUCUCAUCACGCAAGCAUACACAUACACACCAGAAAAUAAGAGUCAAAGAGGAUAGAAUAGUGAAAAGAGUUAUCAACAGAUAGCACAAAAAAAGCUAGAAAUAUCUUUUCCUAGAUUGUCGACCCGUUCUUGUAUGUAAUUCCUAGCCGUAGGCUACGACCUACCAGAAAAAAUAAAAGAUGUUGAAAACAAUUUUGCCAAAAAUAACGAACACUUCUGCACAAGUCAGUAAUUUUGAACAAUCAAAGUAUUUUUUUAAAAGAAGAAUGUGCUAACAAACCCCAACACAGAUGGUAUCAGCACACGAAGAAAUAUUUCCAAUCAAAGCACACGACUGUAGACCAGCUGCUAGCAGAUUGCAGAAGACAGGAAGACAGAAAACCAAUAAUUCUUGAAUCAACAGAAAAAGUAGCAAAAUACACUAAAAAAAAUACUGAUUUAAUCAUUAGAACUCGUCUCACAUAUAUUGUCUUCAAUCUUAAAUGUAGGCAACUCAAAUACCCAAUGGUUCAAUCAAGGAACACGCUUUAAAGAAUCUAUGAGCAAGAGUGUGUAUCGGGCAAUUCUAUACUCAAUGGUCCAAUCAAAAUGCAAAAGCUUUCGUAAACCUACGAUCAAGAGAGCAAAAUUAAAGAAAUUUUAAUCAGGACACGAAGGCCAGAAACAAAUAAUGCUAAAAAGGAGGUAAAAGACCAGAGCAGAUGGUCAUCUAGACGCCAGAACUGUAGUGUUUAGCAGCCAACUAACCUACAAAGAAAACACCAUGCUCUUCAGGAACCUAAAACGAAGCUGGCCACUUUAGCAUCUAAAAGGAAAGGAAAUAACACACCAUGGCCCAUGGAACGAUAUCAAUCAAAACAAAGGUCCAGUCAUUUGUUUUUCAUUCUGCAAAAAUCUAAAUGUAGAACCAAUGGCGCCAUCUAUCAGUUAGCCUAUUCAGGCACCCAGCUUUUAAGCACAGAAAGAAAUACAAUCUGAAGACAGAGAUAAGAUAGUGAUUAAACAUCAACAUAAAUUUUUUACUGGGACGGAAGAACAAAAACAGCCCACUCAUGCAAGUUUUUUAUCAAUCUGCAGAAAAGAAGUAAUAUGAACAUAUCUAACAGACACUACCAUACAUACAAUGAUAAUAUGAACAUACUGAACCAUGGAAUCAAGGUAACAGGUAUGGUAAACUGGGGAACAAAACUCGGUGAAGGGAAGGUCAUAUGAGACCAAGUCAAGACAUGAACAGGUCCAAAAACCACCAAAAUUAGAAAAAAGGUAAAACAUGAAUCAUGAGAUUACCAGAUCAUUGCAAAAAAAAAAAAAAAAAAAAAUUACAAGAACAGCAAAUGACAAACCACAUGUAAAUCAUAACGAGAAAAUUUAAUCAUCAAACGAUAUGAAACAGGAAAGGUCACUAAACAAUUGCUGAGUGGACACUUA
rnacentral:lncRNA from 1 species